GGAGCCGUAGCGAAAGCGAGUUUUAACUGAGCGUUCAGUUACUUGACGUAGACCCGAAACCGGGCGACCUACCCAUGAGCAGGAUGAAGCGAAAGUAAAAUUUCGUGGAGGUCCGAACCCACGAGCGUUGAAAAGCUCGGGGAUGACUUGUGGGUAGCGGUGAAAUUCCAAUCGAGCCCGGAGAUAGCUGGUUCUCCCCGAAAUAGCUUUAGGGCUAGCCUCAAGGUGAGAGAUACGGAGGUAGAGCACUGAAUGUCCUAGGGGGUAUUGCACCUACCGAAGACUAUCAAACUCCGAAUGCCGUCAUCUUAUACUUGGGAGUCAGACUGUGGGUGAUAAGAUUCAUAGUCGAAAGGGCAACAGCCCAGAUCGUCAGCUAAGGUCCCUAAAUGUAAGUUAAGUGGUAAAGGAUGUGGGAUUGCACAGACAACCAGGAUGUUGGCUUAGAAGCAGCCACUCAUUCAAAGAGUGCGUAAUAGCUCACUGGUCGAGUGAUCCUGCGCCGAAGAUUUCCGGGGCUAAAACUUACUACCGAAGCUACGGCAUCAGUAAUGAUGGGUAGGGGAGCUUCCCAUACGGGUUGAAGCAUGACCGGAAGGACAUGUGGACAGUAUGGGAGUGAGAAUGUUGGCAUGAGUAGCGAGAUGUGGGUGAGAAUCCCACAGGCCGUAAACCCAAGGUUUCCAGGGGAAGGUUCGUCCGCCCUGGGUUAGUCGGGACCUAAGCUGAGGCCGAAAGGCGUAGGUGAUGGACAACAGGUUGAUAUUCCUGUACUACCGAUAACCGUUUGAGAGAUGGGAUGACACAGUAGGAUAAGCUAAGCACACUGUUGGUUAUGUGUGCCCAAGCAUUGAGGCAGUCAAAGUAGGCAAAUCCGCUUUGAUAAUGCUGGGAUGUGAUGGGGAGCGAAAUUUAGUAGCGAAGUAGCUGAUUUCACACUGUCAAGAAAAGUCUCUAUCGAGGUUAAAGGUACCCGUACCGCAAACCGACACAGGUGGGUGAGGAGAGUAUCCUAAGGCCAGCGAGAGAACUGUUGUUAAGGAACUCGGCAAAAUGACCCCGUAACUUAGGGAUAAGGGGUGCCACCAUCAGGUGGCCGCAGAGAAUAGGCCCAAGCGACUGUUUACCAAAAACAUAGGUUUCUGCUAAGUCGCAAGACGAUGUAUAGGAGCUGACGCCUGCCCGGUGCUGGAAGGUUAAGGGGAUCUGUUAGAGC
rnacentral:rRNA from 1 species